GGAGCGAACGCUGGCGGCAGGCCUAACACAUGCAAGUCGAGCGCCCCGCAAGGGGAGCGGCAGACGGGAGAGUAACACGUGGGAACGUACCCUUUGGUUCGGAACAACACAGGGAAACUUGUGCUAAUACCGGAUAAGCCCUUACGGGGAAAGAUUUAUCGCCGAAAGAUUGGCCCGCGUCUGAUUAGCUAGUUGGUGAGGUAACGGCUCACCAAGGCGACGAUCAGUAGCUGGUCUGAGAGGAUGAUCAGCCACAUUGGGACUGAGACACGGCCCAAACUCCUACGGGAGGCAGCAGUGGGGAAUAUUGGACAAUGGCGCAAGCCUGAUCCAGCCAUGCCGCGUGAGUGAUGAAGGCCCUAGGGUUGUAAAGCUCUUUUGUGCGGGAAGAUAAUGACGGUACCGCAAGAAUAAGCCCGGCUAACUCGUGCCAGCAGCCGC
rnacentral:rRNA from 1 species